rnacentral:rRNA from 1 species
AACGAACGCUGGCGGCGUGCCUAACACAUGCAAGUCGUGCGAGAAAGUUCCUUCGGGAGCGAGUAAAGCGGCGCACGGGUGAGUAACACGUAGGUAACCUGCCCCCCAGUCUGGAACAACUAGAGGAAACUCUAGCUAAUGCCGGAUGAGACCACGAUCCCUUCGGGGGUUGCGGCCAAAGAUGGCCUCUACUUGUAAGCUAUCGCUGAGGGAUGGGCCUGCGGGCCAUUAGCUUGUUGGUGAGGUAACGGCUCACCAAGGCUGUGAUGGCUAGCUGGUCUGAGAGGAUGACCAGCCACACUGGGACUGAGACACGGCCCAGACUUCUACGGGAGGCAGCAGUGGGGAAUAUUGCGCAAUGGGCGAAAGCCUGACGCAGCGACGCCGCGUGGGUGAUGAAGGCC